CAGUAGCCGCGGUAAAACGAAGGGUGCAAGCGUUAAUCGGAAUUACUGGGCGUAAAGCGUGCGUAGGCGGUGAGUUAAGUCUGCUGUGAAAUCCCCGGGCUCAACCUGGGAAUGGCAGUGGAUACUGGCUCGCUAGAGUGUGUCAGAGGAUGGUGGAAUUCCCGGUGUAGCAGUGAAAUGCGUAGAGAUCGGAAGGAACAUCUGUGGCGAAGGCGGCUAUCUGGGCCAACACUGACACUGAGGCACGAAAGCGUGGGGAGCAAACAGGAUUAGAUACCCCAGUAGUCCCUGUCUCUUAUAC
rnacentral:rRNA from 1 species